UCAAGCGAACAAGGGCGCAGGGCGAAUGCCUUGGCACUGGGAGCCGAUGAAAGACGUGAUAAGCUGCGAUAAGCUUCGGGGAGCUGCAAAUAAGCAUUGAUCCGGAGAUUUCUGAAUGAGGAAACUCACCUGAGUUCAUACUCAGGUACAAUACACUGAAAUUCAAAAUAGGUGUAUUGAGGGAACCGCCUGAACUGAAACAUCUAAGUAGGGCGAGGAAGAGACAUCAAACGAGAUUCCGUAAGUAGUGGCGAGCGAACGCGGAAGAGGGCAAACCGAGAGUAGAAAUACUUUCGGGGUACGGACUGCUUUUAAGACUCAAUCUGUUAACCGAACGGCAUGGGAAGGCCGGUCAGAGAGUGUGAGAACCACGUAGGUGAAAACGGAGAGAGCUGCGCAGGAUCCAGAGUACGGCCAGACACGUGAAACCUGGUCGGAAUACGGGGGGACCACCCUCCAACCCUAAAUACUACCCAGUGACCGAUAGCGUAUAGUACUGUGAAGGAAAGGUGAAAAGCACCCCGGGAGGGGAGUGAAAAAGAACCUGAAACCCUGUGCCUACAAGCACCUAGAGCACGUCAAAGUGUGAUAGGGUACUUUUUGUAGAACGGUCCGGCGAGCGAUUGUAUGCAGCAAGGUUAAGGACUUAAGGUCUGGAGCCGAAGCGAAAGCGAGUUUGAAAAGGGCGUUAAGUUGCAUAUAAUGGGCCCGAAACCGGGUGACCUACCCAUGGUCAGGUUGAAGUGGAAGUAAAAUUCCAUGGAGGACCGAACCGACCUCCGUUGAAAAGGCGGCGGAUGAACUGUGGGUAGCGGAGAAAUUCCAAUCGAACCCGGAGAUAGCUGGUUCUCCCCGAAAUAGUUUUAGGACUAGCCUCAAGUUAGAUACCUGGAGGUAAAGCACUGAAUAGCCUAGCGGCCGAGAGGUUAGCGAAGCUUAUCAAACUCAGAAUGCCAGAGUAUUGAUGCUUGGGAGUCAGACAGUGUCAGAUAAAUGUCAUUGUCAAAAGGGAAACAGCCCAGAUCUACAGCUAAGGUCCCAAAGUCAGGUUAAGUGGAAAACGAUGUGAAGAUACGCAGACAACCAGGAUGUUGGCUCAGAAGCAGCCACUCAUUCAAAGAGUGCGUAAUAGCUCACUGGUCGAGCGUCUUUGCGCGGAGAAUUUAACGGGGCUAAACCUGACACCGAAGCUUAGGCAAUACAGCAAUGUAUUGGGUAGGGGAGCGUUGUAUACGCGGAGAAACAGUAGCGUAAGCGGCUGUGGAGUGUAUAGAAGUGAGAAUGCCGGAAUGAGUAGCGCGAAUGCAGUGAGAAUCUGCAUGGCCGAAAGCCUCAGGUUUCUGGAGGAAGGUUCGUCCGCUCCAGGUUAGUCGGGAGCUAAGGUGAGGCCGGAAGGCGUAGCCGAUGCACAGACGGUAGAGAUUCCGUCACCACCAAAAGAGUUAAGCACAGGGACACAUAUGAAGUCUCAGAGCCGGGUGUUGGUUCCGGUAGAGAUCGAGGGAAAUUAGUACCGAAGUCUGAGAUGGAAGAUGGCGAGAAAAGCUGUGUGUAUUUCUGAGGUGCCCGUACCGCAAACCGACACAGGUAGGUAGGAAGAAGAUUCUAAGGCCAACGGGAGAAGGGUUGUUAAGGAACUCGGCAAAUUGACCCCGUAACUUCGGGAGAAGGGGUGCUCCAGAGAUGGAGCCGCAGAGAAUCGGCCCAAGCAACUGUUUACCAAAAACACAGGUUUGUGCUAAAUCGAAAGAUGACGUAUACGAGCUGACGCCUGCCCGGUGCUGGAAGGUUAAGAGGAGAUGUGCAAGCAUUGAAUCGAAGCCCCAGUGAACGGCGGCCGUAACUAUAACGGUCCUAAGGUAGCGAAAUUCCUUGUCAGGUAAGUUCUGACCCGCAUGAAAGGCGUAAUGAUUUGGGCACUGUCUCAACAGCCCGCCCGGCGAAAUUGUAGUACCGGUGAAGAUGCCGGUUACCCGCGACAAGACGGAAAGACCCCAUGGAGCUUUACUGUAGCCUAAUAUUGG
rnacentral:rRNA from 1 species